GGGAGGAAGGGGAACCAGCUGGCCAGAAAAUUGCAAAGGUCGCUGAUGCAAUCUUGCAACAGCUUGCUCAGCCUUCCCUGUUAGAGCCCAGAGCCAGAGGGGAAAGGGUGCCAUUCUUAGGGGUCUGAGGUCAUUGGCCAGAGUCAGAAGCCAGCGUCAAUCCCUUGGUCUGCUACAGCCCUUCAGUUCUAGUCGAAGGUGAAAGUUUGGAAUUUAAAGUUCAUGCUUUAGUUGAUAGGUAAGUGAGCAAGGUAACCACAGGCCAAAUGUAGAUUAUUCUUGGAGGAGCCUGGCUUGGCUUUUUGUUCUUUUAACCUUGUCAAGCCAGAAAGUUCUGUAAGGAAGGUCUGAGCCAAGUUUAACUUCAGUCUUGGCAUUGUUCUUAAGCCUUCCUGAUAAAUUUGGAGCACUCCUAGUAGCUGGCAGCAGUGACCAUGGAACUUCCCCAAGGACCACGAGGGUUCCAGACACAGUGGCUCCUGGGAAAGAAUAUGAUGUAUACCUAGACAAGAGAGCACCCAAUUGGUUUCCCCCUCGGAAGUGUCCACAGAGGCCAGAAGGAGUCAGCCCCCUGGAACUUGAGUCACAGAUGAGCUGCCAAGUGAUACUGGGAACCCAACCUGGGUUCUCUGUAAGAGCGAAUCCAAGCAGCAAGAUGGAGGAAAAAUCAAUUCAAAGCCUGAGGAGGACUGAUGAGGAAAAUGAUCCGAUGGGAGAACCUGGUUGAGACCAGUCCACCUUCACUGUAAACACUCCUUCACUUGCCGUAGAUCCGCCCUGGGGAUGUAGACACAGCUGGAAUUCCAUACACAAUCUGUGCAAACUUGUACCUGAGCAGUUCAUACCCACCUACCCCCAACCAGGUUGCCUACGUGUUAAAUUUAAAAUUUUUCUUUUAAGAUGUGUCUCUUGUAGUUCAGACUGGUCUUGAACUCUAUACACAGCUGAGGAUGGUGAUAAACUCCAUCCUUUGGCUUCCACCUCCUAAAUGCUGGGAUUAUGCCUUAUAUUAUAGUGUAUGUAUGUGUGUUGCUUUAGGUUCUCUUGUCCCGCCAGGCCCCACUGCCCUUCUCAGCCCCAAAUAAACACACUGUUGGCUGAUGGGUGGGACCUCUUAUUGGCUAGCUCUCUUUAAAUUGUUAACUCAUACCUGCUAGUCUAUGAAUCGUCACGAGGCUGUGGCUUACCGGUAAUCUAGCAUGUUACUCCUUCGGCAGCAUGGCAGCUCUACUGUCUCUCUCCGACUACCUUUCCCAGAAUUCUCCUCGUCUCCUAGUCCCACCUGUCUUCCUGCCUGGCCAAUCGAUGUUUUAUUCAUCAACCAAUAAGAGAAACAUAUACACAGAAGGACGUCCCCAUCAUGUGUGUGGAAUUAAAAAAAUGUGUAGGGAGAGACCUAAAACAUCCUAAUUUUUUGAAAAAGAUACAAGCUACUAUCUGUUUAAAAAUGAUGAAAAGAAAAUUUCAAGUGGGAUGUUGGUCUCUCUCUCUCUCUCUCUCUCUCUCUCUCUCUCUCUCUCUCUCUGUACCUAAAUAAAAUACAUAUUUUGUUGCUGGCCCAGAGAAUCCAGCCCCAAGGCUUGCCCCUCCCAUCCCUAUCUUCCUGAGAACCCUACCUGUCUUAUGAUACCAUUUUUUUUGUUUGUUUUUUUUUUUUUUGUUGUUUUUUUAAUUCCCCCAGUGUGUCAUAGUAUUGAAACCUGCAAUGGUUAGAUUUAGUUUCCAGUUUACUAUCCAUUAUUUGCAUUCUUCAGAAUAAAUUCUCAUUUAUUUUGUUGGAUGCCGGGUUCUCU
ensembl:lncRNA